AGUCGAACGGAUUUUUAUCAUAGCUUGCUAUGAUAAAAAUUAGUGGCAGACGGGUGAGUAAUGCAUAGGAAUCUACCUAGUAGUAUGGGAUAGCCACUAGAAAUGGUGGGUAAUACUGUAUAAUCCCUGCGGGGGAAAGAUUUAUCGCUAUUAGAUGAGCCUAUGUUAGAUUAGCUAGUUGGUAGGGUAAAGGCCUACCAAGGCAGUGAUCUAUAGCUGGUCUGAGAGGAUGAUCAGCCACACUGGAACUGAGAUACGGUCCAGACUCCUACGGGAGGCAGCAGUGGGGAAUGUUGGACAAUGGGCGCAAGCCUGAUCCAGCUAUGCCGCGUGAGUGAGGAAGGCCUUAGGGUUGUAAAACU
rnacentral:rRNA from 1 species